rnacentral:rRNA from 1 species
GACGAACGCUGGCGGCGUGCUUAACACAUGCAAGUCGAGCGGUAAGGCCCCUUCGGGGGUACACGAGCGGCGAACGGGUGAGUAACACGUGGGUGACCUGCCCUCAGCUCUGGGAUAAGCCUGGGAAACUGGGUCUAAUACCGGAUAUGACUCCAUGACGCAUGUCGUGGGGUGGAAAGCCUUGUGCGGCUGGGGAUGGGCCCGCGGCCUAUCAGCUUGUUGGUGGGGUGAUGGCCUACCAAGGCGACGACGGGUAGCCGGCCUGAGAGGGCGACCGGCCACACUGGGACUGAGACACGGCCCAGACUCCUACGGGAGGCAGCAGUGGGGAAUCUUGCGCAAUGGGCGAAAGCCUGACGCAGCGACGCCGCGUGAGGGAUGACGGCC